AUGUACCUCCGUACACUCCGGUUCCUCCGCGCCGUCCGCACCCACCUGACGACUGCUCGCUACGUUUUGUUAGCC
rnacentral:sRNA from 1 species